GAACUGCCCACCUCUCAAAGAGCUGGGAUUACAGGUCAUAAGACCUUCAUUCCAGAGGCAUCCUGCCCUGUAUCCGGGAAGAAGGAAUGCUGCACACAGAUGCCAAGAAGAAUCGGAACAGACAGGCAUUGCUGGAUCCCCCCUCGGUCUAUUACCACGAGAUCAAACUCUUUUGUCCAAUCACAUGUCUACAGUGCUGUCCAUUCUUCAUUGAAUCUAAGCAGAAAAAUGGGCAGUUUUCCCUGGGUCUUCCGGUCUUCAUUUCUGAAGUCUUCCAUGUUACAUAAAACUUUUUUUUUUUUUUUUUUUUUUUUGAGACAGAAUGUCACUCCGUUGCCUGGGCUGGAGUGCAGUGGUGCGAUCUUGGCUCACUGCAAUCUCCGUCUCCCAGGUUCAAGCAAUUCUCCUGCUUCAGCCUCCUGAGUAGCUGAGACUACAUGCAUGUGCCACUAUGCCUGGCUAGUUUUUGUAUUUUUAGUAGAGACUGGGUUUCGCCACAUUGGCCAGGCUGGUCACGAACUCCUGACUUCCGGUGAUCCACCCGCCUCAGCCUCCCAAAGUGCUGGGAUUACAGGUGUGAACCACUGUGCUUGGC
rnacentral:lncRNA from 10 species